AUCCUUUUGUGGUUUGUAAGUGUGAUGAUUGGGUGUUUGUGCUUUUGUGUGACAUGUGCCUCCCACUAAACCUUGUUAGGACACCGGCACAUUACCCGUCUGACG